GACGAACGCUGGCGGCGUGCCUAAUACAUGCAAGUCGAGCGCUGAAGGCUGGUACUUGUACCGACUGGAUGAGCCGCGAACGGGUGAGUAACGCGUGGGACAUCUGCCUGAGAGCGGGGGAAAACCAUGGGAAACGAAUGAUAAUACCGCAUAAACACUUGAAACACAGGGGUUAAGGUAGAAAGAUGCCAUUGCGUGACGCAAAGAUGAUCCAGCGUUGUAUUAGCUUGGUGGUGAGGUAAAGGCGCACCAAGGCGAUGCUACAUAGCGGACCUGAGAGGGUGGGUGGCCGCCUUGGGACGGUGACCCGCCCCAAUCGCCUACAGGAGGCAGCAGUAGUGAUUCUUCGGCCAGGGACGAAAGUCUGUCCGAGCUACGCCGCGUGAGUGUAGAAGGUUUUCGGAUCGGAAAACUCUGUUGGUAGGUUAGAACGUUGGUGCGCGUGUAAAGCACAUCAAGUGACGGUAACGACUCAGAAAGCAACGGCUAACUACGUG
rnacentral:rRNA from 1 species